UAGGGAAUCUUCGGCAAUGGACGAAAGUCUGACCGAGCAACGCCGCGUGAGUGAAGAAGGUUUUCGGAUCGUAAAACUCUGUUGUUAGAGAAGAACAAGGACGUUAGUAACUGAACGUCCCCUGACGGUAUCUAACCAGAAAGCCACGGCUAACUACGUGCCAGCAGCCGCGGUAAUACGUAGGUGGCAAGCGUUGUCCGGAUUUAUUGGGCGUAAAGCGAGCGCAGGCGGUUUCUUAAGUCUGAUGUGAAAGCCCCCGGCUCAACCGGGGAGGGUCAUUGGAAACUGGGAGACUUGAGUGCAGAAGGGGUGAGUGGAAUUCCAUGUGUAGCGGUGAAAUGCGUAGAUAUAUGGAGGAACACCAGUGGCGAAGGCGGCUCUCUGGUCUGUAACUGACGCUGAGGCUCGAAAGCGUGGGGAGCAAACAGG
rnacentral:rRNA from 1 species